rnacentral:rRNA from 1 species
UACGUAGGGGGCUAGCGUUGUCCGGAUUUAUUGGGCGUAAGGAGCGUGUAGGCGGCCAUGUAGGUCCGGUGUGAAAACUCGAGGCUUAACCUCGAGAUGUCAUCGGAAACCAUUUGGCUAGAGUCCGGAAGAGGAGAGUGGAAUUCCUGGUGUAGCGGUGAAAUGCGCAGAUAUCAGGAAGAACACCAAUGGCGAAAGCAGCUCUCUGGGACGGUACUGACGCUGAGACGCGAAAGCGUGGGGAGCGAACAGG